AUGGGAGACUUUUGGCAGCUGGUGGUUCCCACCUCUUUCAGUUUUCGAUCCCGACUGUAGAGCUUCAUGUUGUUUGGGCUGGUGUCACCUUUGCCAGAUGGCAGCUUCAUGCGUAGAAGAUUUUUUUGAAUAGUAACUCUGCUACUGUCAUUUCAUGGAUUCAGAAAGAGGCCAGACAGCUUGAUGGUCAUCCACUUAUCCAAGAUGUUAGG
rnacentral:lncRNA from 1 species